rnacentral:rRNA from 1 species
UUUCUAGUGGCGACGGGUGAGUAACACGUUGGAACCUGCCCCAAAGUGAGGAAUAAGCCACCGAAAGGUGGUCUAAUACUUCAUAAUAUCCAUCUCGUAUGGAUUAAAGCUUUAUGCGCUUUGGGAGGGGCCUGCGUAACAUUAGCUUGUUGGUGAGGUAAAAGCUCACCAAGGCUUCGAUGUUUAACUGGUUUGAGAGGAUGACCAGUCACACUGGGACUGAGAUACGGCCCAGACUCCUACGGGAGGCAGCAGUAAGGAAUCUUCCACAAUGGGGCAACCCUGAUGGAGCAAUACCGCGUGCAGGAUGAAGCGUUUCGGCGUGUAAACUGCUUUUAUCACCGAAGAUUAUGACUGUAGGUGAAGAAUAAGGACCGGCUAACUACGUG